UAGAUACCCUGGUAGUCCACGCCGUAAACGAUGUCAACUUGGAGUCUGUGCCAUUGAGCGUGGGCUCCGAAGCUAACGCGAUAAGUUGACCGCCUGGGGAGUACGGCCGCAAGGUUAAAACUCAAAUGAAUUGACGGGGGCCCGCACAAGCGGUGGAGCAUGUGGUUUAAUUCGAUGCAACGCGAAGAACCUUACCUGGCCUUGACAUGUCUGGAACCUUGUAGAGAUACGAGGGUGCCUUCGGGAAUCA
rnacentral:rRNA from 1 species